UACGUAGGCAGCAAGCGUUGUUCGGAAUUACUGGGCGUAAAGAGUGUGUAGGCGGUGCUCUAAGUUCGGUGUGAAAUCUCCCGGCUUAACUGGGAGGGUGCGCCGGAAACUGGAGUGCUUGAGCGCGGGAGAGGAAAGCGGAAUUCCUGGUGUAGCGGUGAAAUGCGUAGAUAUCAGGAGGAACACCUGCGGUGUAGACGGCUUUCUGGACCGUAGCUGACGCUGAGACACGAAAGCGUGGGUAGCAAACAGG
rnacentral:rRNA from 1 species